ensembl:lncRNA
CAGUAGUUCUUACUUCAAUGGCCAAAUGGUUAGACCUUGUAAAACACGUCUAGAAACUGGCUUGAUUUCUUUUGGACUGAUGUCUAAGUUCCUUUUUUUUAACCUAAUGAGUACCAACCAAAUGGCAUAUAGUAUAGUCUUCUGACACUUUUCCAGCUAUGAUGAUAUUAAGAAUUUCCUGACUUGGUAUUGACACUCAAGGGUGUUGUUGACCAAGGGGGCUAUUCAGGACUUAACCAGUUCACCAGUAACUUGGCAACUGACGAUGCCUUUGCGGUUUACUGAAGCAAUCCACUGGGACCUUGCAGGCUUCAAAUAGCUUUUGGCCUUUGGAGAAGAUCAUGUUAAAGAAGCUCUGACGAAGGCCUUGAGGCAGAUUAUUAAUAAAAAGCGUGAUACUAAAGCGAGCGGUGUUAUGUUAUUCAAUUGGUAAUAUGCAACAAAGAUGGCUCAAAUGGGGAAGUGUCUUUUGAAUUUGGGAAAGAUGGUGUUCAAAUUCAUUGGAUUGAUCACAUCUCACAAUCUAAAUUUUAAGGGAGUAUAUUGCAUUGGAAGCCUAAUUUGAAGAUUAUACUUGUCAUGUAGUAAACUGGACUUGUUCAAAACAGACAUUACUGCAUUGAAGAGGAACUGCCCCCUAAUAAUCCAAAUCCUUUUGAAAAUAGCCUGUGGUAUCAUUUUAUUCUAGUGUCAAUUGACAUAAGUGAGAUUACUUUGGUUAUCGUAAACUAAGUUUGACACCUCUGUCACAAGGAGUAAAGUUAGGGCUGGGUUUGUAUUACAUUUGUCAAAUCAUGCCCCCCUUAGACUUGCUGUGCAAAUUGCCCAUGUUACUUAGCUAUGAGAAACUAGCCACAAAGAU